rnacentral:sRNA from 1 species
UUGACAGCCCUGAAGACUGAAUUUCUCUAUUUAUGCUCAGAACAGAAUCAUCAGUGGCUGUAAAAAUUUACCCCCCUCUACAUCCCACGAAUGUGCCCUAACCCUGACAAACAGUGACCAAGGGAGGGAGGUUUUCAUAAGCUAUUUAUUCCUUAGUUUAU